rnacentral:rRNA from 1 species
CGAAGAAAUUCGGAUUAAUGCUCCAUAUUACUAUAAGAUGGCAUCAUUUUAUAGUGAAAGCCCCGGCGGUUAGAGAUGGGCAUGCGUGACAUUAGUUUGUUGGUGAGGUAACGGCUCACCAAGACCACGAUGUCUAGGGGGUCUGAGAGGAUGGUCCCCCACACUGGUACUGAGACACGGACCAGACUCCUACGGGAGGCAGCAGUGAGGAAUAUUGGUCAAUGGGCGAAAGCCUGAACCAGCCAUGCCGCGUGAAGGAUGACAGCGCUACGCGUUGUAAACUUCUUUUGUACGGGAAGAAACACUUCUACUUGUAGAAGCUUGACGGUACCGUACGAAUAAGCAUCGGCUAACUCCGUGCCAGCAGCCGCGGUAAUACGGAGGAUGCAAGCGUUAUCCGGAUUUAUUGGGUUUAAAGGGUACGUAGGCGGGAAAUUAAGUCAGUGGUGAAAUCCUGCAGCUCAACUGUAGAACUGUCAUUGAUACUGGUUUCCUUGAAUGUAGUUGAGGUAGGCGGAAUGUGUAAUGUAGCGGUGAAAUGCUUAGAUAUUACACAGAACACCGAUUGCGAAGGCAGCUUACUAAACUACGAUUGACGCUGAGGUACGAAAGCGUGGGGAGCGAACAGGAUUAGAUACCCUGGUAGUCCACGCUGUAAACGAUGAUCACUCGUUGUUGGCGAUAUACUGUCAGCGACUGAGCGAAAGCAUUAAGUGAUCCACCUGGGGAGUACGACCGCAAGGUUGAAACUCAAAGGAAUUGACGGGGGCCCGCACAAGCGGAGGAACAUGUGGUUUAAUUCGAUGAUACGCGAGGAACCUUACCUGGGCUUAAAUGCAGAACGACGGACCGGGAAACUGGUCUUUCUUCGGACGGACUGCAAGGUGCUGCAUGGCUGUCGUCAGCUCGUGCCGUGAGGUGUCGGGUUAAGUCCCAUAACGAGCGCAACCCUCAUCAUUAGUUGCCAGCGGGUAAUGCCGGGGACUCUAAUGAAACUGCCGGUGUAAACCGAGAGGAAGGUGGGGAUGACGUCAAGUCAGCACGGCCAUUAUGUCCAGGGCUACACACGUGUUACAAUGGUCGGUACAAAGGGCAGCUACCUGGCAACAGGAUGCUAAUCUCGAANACCGAUCUUAGUUCGGAUCGAAGUCUGCCACUCGACU